rnacentral:rRNA from 1 species
ACCUGAAGUGAAGCAAAUCAACCUGCUGAAUUUAAGCAUAUAAGUAGGCGGUGGAAAAUGAACCAAAUGGGAUCCCUUUAAUAAUUGCGAAUGAAUGAGGAUGUGCUCAGCUUGAAAACUGCAGCUCCUGAGCUUUGAAUUGUAAUGUUGCAUUGUACCACCAGCAAAGGUGCAGGUGCAAGCCUGUUGAAAGACAGCGUCGAUGAGGGUGAGAUUCCUGUUCGUCAUCUGCAACCCCCUGUGCACGGUAUACAUUUGGCGAGUCACAUUCCUUGGCAUUGGAAUGCUAAUUGGGUGGUAAAUUCCAUGCAAAGGUAAAUAUGUUAUUGAGUCUGAUAACUAACAAGUACCAUGAGGGAAAUAUGAAAAGGAUUUUGAAAAGAGAAUUAAAAGAGCCUGCAUUUGCUGAACAGAAAGCAAACAGAAGUGUUUCACUUGGUGGGAUUGUUGUGCUUAUGUUUGCAUUUAUGUGUUGAACAUGUGUGCAGUGGGUCUUACCUUGGGUGUCAAUUUCAUUUCUGCUUAUCAUGAACCUUGCUUAUGAAAGGUAAGGUGCCUGUGGGUGCUGGGUUGCUUGUGCUUGCAAUGACAGGUAAUUUGACACAUUGUUUAGGUAUGUGAACUGCAUUCAUAUGUUAUAAAUAUGUAUUUUCUGAAUGAGAGCAUAUGUCAAUCAAUGCCUUUGGCAACAUGUUUCUGCUUGACCCGUCUUGAAACACGGACCAAGGAGUCUAACAGAUGUGCAAGCUAUUGGGUGUGUAUACCUUCUAGCGCAAUGAAAGUGAUUGCUGGGAUGUUUGCACCAGCAGGCGACUGAUUAGUGGUCAGAGGUUUGAGUGUGAGUAUGUUUAUUAGGACCCGAAAGAUGGUGAACUAUGCCUGAACAGAAUGAAUUCAGAGGAAACUCUGAUGGAAGUUCGUAUCGAUACUGACGUGCAAAUCGUUCGUCAUACUUGGGUAUAGGGGCGAAAGACUAAUCGAACCAUCUAGUAGCUGGUUCCUUCCGAAGUUUCCCACAGGAUAGCUGGAAUUGCACAGUUUUACCAUGUAAAGCGAAUGAUUAGAGGAAUUGGGGACAUGAUGACCUUGACCUAUUCUCAAACUUUAAAUGGGUAAGCUGUAAUGGUUGCUUUGGUGAACUUUCGCAUAAAAUGGCAAUAUCAAGUGGGCCAUUUUUGGUAAGCAGAACUGGCGAUGAGGGAUGAACCUAACAUUGGGUUAAAGUGCUUAAUUGCUUGCUCAUGUGAUACCAGAAAGGGUGUUGGUUCAUUUUAACAGCAGGACGGUGGUCAUGGAAGUCGAAAUCCGCUAAGGAGUGUGUAACAACUCACCUGCCGAAUGAACUAGCCCUGAAAAUGGAUGGCGCUAAAGCGUGCGACUUAUACUCAGCCAUCAGCGCGAGACGUAUGUGCUGAUGAGUAGGAGGGCGUGAUGCUCGUAUCGAAGCCUUGGGCGUGAGCCUGGGUGAAACGUGCAUUAGUGCAGAUCUUGGUGGUAGUAGCAACUAUUCAAAUGAGAACUUUGAAGACUGAAGCGGAGAAAGGUUCCAUGUGAACAGCAAUUGGACAUGGGUUAGUCGAUCCUAAGGCUCAGAGUAACUCCGUUAUAAGGCGGGCUUUUUUCGGAAAGCCCCGGUGGCCGAAAGGGAAGAAGGUUAAAAUUCCUUCACCU